rnacentral:lncRNA from 1 species
CCAGCUUCCUCCUCUUCCUCCUCCAGCUCCAACUGCAGUGGCAAGGUCUGGGGAUUGAGAGGCCCGGCAUGACUAAGAGAUAUCGUGAAAUUACAACUCAACAAUGAAUUACAGCACAGGCUUUUCACAACUAAGAGACUGUCCAUCAUGGUGCCAGUUUUUCUCAAAAUGGCAUGUGUGCAUGAAAUUCUACAGGCAUAUGGGGUCGUGAUCUGCUAAUCUCCAGUUAUUAUACAAAACUACAGAUACUUGAAAACAGAACCAAAUAAAAAUUCUAGCAGAAGAAGACAAUAUAUGAAAUUUAAUAAUUCAUUUCCUGGGAAUGACAGCAGAAAGGUGAUGACAGAGGAAAGAGCCAAUAAAAUUUGAAGACAGACUACUUUGAAAAGGGACUUUCCAGCUAUCAGUACACUAUCUCACAAUUACCCUUGAACCAGAAGACAAUGAAUGAUUUGCUAAACAGAUGGCAUAGUCUAUGACAUGCAUCAUAUGUGUGAGCAAUCACAGAAGACUCCUUCCUGUUGCCUUGUGAAGAAGGCUCCUGCUUCCCCUUCACCUUCUGCGCGAUUGUAAGUUUCCUGAGGCCUCCUAGCCAUGCUUCUUGUUCACUCUGCGGAACUGUCCUGAGCUGAAAAGAAUAUGAGAAAUCGGAUUUUACGACAUACCAAAUUAUGAUUGUAUGUCCCAGAAAUUCACUUAGAAGCUAAUAGAAAAAAUGAAACCAAAGCCUUUUGAUAAGCAGAGGAGAUUUGGGAAGUCAAAGUUCAAUCAAAGUCAUUUGGAUGAAAUAGGAAGAAGGCAUUAUGAGAAUAGAGUUGAAAAUUUAUCAUGACAUAUGCUGGCUGCACAGUCAAAACUUAUCACUGCCCACGACUUCGGAAGCAUGACAGGAGAGCUGUGGGAGCCACUUCCUCGUCAGACGUGGUUUGAUAUGUCAAGUGAGAACCUGAGUAAAGCAAAGAGGUGAACUAUGACUUGGAAUCCUCCAGGCUUUGGCUUCCAUCACACUCCAUGAACUUGAUGCACAUAAUUUAAUGUAGGCCUCCACCCAAUAUCAUCAGUUCUCUUGCAUGUUGAACCCCCAGUUUCCUGGAUCUGACCAACAUGACCUUAAUGUUCCUAUCAGCUCGACUAAACUUUAAAGAGAUUUCUUCCUCAAUAUGGGCCUCUAACUUCCCUUUUCUUAGAGCAUUUACUUUAGAAAUUUUGCAAUUAUCAAUUUUUUCUCCCUAUUUUUGAGAUGUAAAUUUUCUACAACUCAGGAAUGUCUUUCUCAAGGACAUGAGAGAUAUCCCUUUGAAAUGUAAUUGUGAAAAAUGAUAGCACCUCUAUUUCAAUCUGUGUAGGAGAGUAGGAGCCUAACUCAGGUAAGUGACAUUUAGCAAACUCAGAUGGCCUAAACACAUUCACCAACUUCCCCACUAAUGUACUCCCUACUGGUUCAUGUCAGCAUUUAAUAAUCCUUCUGCUUUCUUUUCAGUGGAGCUGAGUUCAGUCUGUCUCUCUUCUGCAGUGGUCUUCUCUCCCAUUGCAAUGGUCUUGAGUAAAGUGUUCUUUGUUUGUUUUACUUGGAGAUGAUGUCAGUUCAAUAUUGAAGUCUCUCUUCCCUACUACAGUAGUUCAAAUAAAAUCCAUCUUGCCAUUCUUAACAAGUAUUGGUAUAAUUUCUCUUUAACAUUUCUCGUGUCUUUCUCUUAAUUGGUUUCUUCUCUUGUUUUACAGAGCAUGUUAGUCACUAGUUUCUUAAGUCUGAUGAAUGUGCUUUCAUUACAUUUUUAUAUUAAUUGACUGAUAUUUUGGAUGGACACAUUUAUACUGCUUGGUUAAAUACGAUUUUCUCUCAGAAUCAUGUGGAAAUUUCUCCGUUAUUUUCUAGUUUCUGUUUUUGCAGUUGAGAAGUCCAAUAUCAUUUUGCUUCCCUACAUUUUUAAAAAAUGUAACCUGUUUCCAUUCUUUCUUUCUUUUGGUAUUUUGCAUCUGUUUUUAAAAAAGCAAUGAUAUAGUUCCAAAACCAUUGAAGAGUAUAAAGGAUAUUAUAAUAACGUCAUUAUACCCACCAC